UACCGCAUACGUCCUACGGGAGAAAGCAGGGGACCUUCGGGCCUUGCGCUAUCAGAUGAGCCUAGGUCGGAUUAGCUAGUUGGUGGGGUAAAGGCUCACCAAGGCGACGAUCCGUAACUGGUCUGAGAGGAUGAUCAGUCACACUGGAACUGAGACACGGUCCAGACUCCUACGGGAGGCAGCAGUGGGGAAUAUUGGACAAUGGGCGAAAGCCUGAUCCAGCCAUGCCGCGUGUGUGAAGAAGGUCUUCGGAUUGUAAAGCACUUUAAGUUGGGAGGAAGGUUCGUUACCUAAUACGUGACGAAUUUGACGUUACCGACAGAAUAAGCACCGGCUAACUCUGUGUCAGCAGCCGCGGUAAUACAGAGGGUGCAAGCGUUAAUCGGAAUUACUGGGCGUAAAGCGCGCGUAGGUGGUUUGUUAAGUUGGAUGUGAAAUCCCCGGGC
rnacentral:rRNA from 1 species